GGAAGAUUCAGUGGUUGGGUUAAGUUUAGAUGUGUACUUGCUUUGCUGUUUGGUGGAGCUGUAUUGCUGUCUGCUGUGUUCUUAUUGCCAAUUUUUCAUAAUGGAGAUCUUGGGGAUCUAGAUCUAGACCCCAAGUUUAGAGGUCAUGACAUAGUAGCCAGUUUCAUGCUUGAGAAGCCAGUUUCUUUGAUGGAGGAUUAUAUCGUGCAAC
rnacentral:misc_RNA from 1 species